UACGGUGGGGGCAAGCGUUGUUCGGAAUUACUGGGCGUAAAGGGCUCGUAGGUGGCCAACUAAGUCAGACGUGAAAUCCCUCGGCUUAACCGGGGAACUGCGUCUGAUACUGGAUGGCUAGAGAUUGGGAGAGGGAUGCGGAAUUCCAGGUGUAGCGGUGAAAUGCGUAGAUAUCUGGAGGAACACCGGUGGCGAAGGCGGCAUCCUGGACCAACACUGACGCUGAGGAGCGAAAGCCAGGGGAGCAAACGGG
rnacentral:rRNA from 1 species